UACAGGGGGUGCAAACGUUGCUCGGAAUCAUUGGGCGUAAAGCGCACGUAGGCGGUUCGUUAUGUCGGAUGUGAAAGCCCUUGGCUUAACCGAGGAAGUGCAUCCGAAACUGGCGAGCUAGAGUACUAAAGAGGAUCGCGGAAUUCCCGGUGUAGAGGUGAAUUCGUAGAUAUCGGGAGGAACACCGGUGGCGAAGGCGGCGAUCUGGUAGAUACUGACGCUG
rnacentral:rRNA from 1 species